rnacentral:rRNA from 1 species
GGAGGGCAAGUCUGGUGCCAGCAGCCGCGGUAAUUCCAGCUCCAAUAGCGUAUAUUAAAGUUGUUGUGGUUAAAAAGCUCGUAGUUGGAUCUCGGCGGACAGGAGUCGGUCCGAAUGCUUUCGGUACUGGCUUGUUUGUCCGUGUGUUUUGCCAGAGGCAGGCGGGUGCUCUUCGCCGAGUGUCCGUUUGUGCUGGCAGGUUUACUUUGAAAAAAUUAGAGUGCUCAAAGCAAGCUCUCACGCUUGAAUAUUCGUGCAUGGAAUAAUAGAAUAGGAUGUCGUUUCUAUUUUGUUGGUUUUCGGAAAUCGACAUAAUGAUUAAUAGGGACAGUCGGGGGCAUUUGUAUUCAAACGACAGAGGUGAAAUUCUUGGAUCGCCGCAAGACGAACAACUGCGAAAGCAUUUGCCAAGAAUGUUUUCAUUAAUCAAGAACGAAAGUUGGAGGUUCGAAGACGAUUAGAUACCGUCCUAGUUCCAACCAUAAACGAUGCCAACUAGCGAUUAGCUGCUGUUAAUUAAACGACACAGCUAGCAGCUUCCGGGAAACCAAAGUUUUUGGGUUCCGGGGGAAGUAUGGUUGCAAAGCUGAAACUUAAAGGAAUUGACGGAAGGGCACCACCAGGAGUGGAGCCUGUGGCUUAAUUUGACUCAACACGGGAAAUCUCACCAGGCCCGGACACGAGAAGGAUUGACAGAUUGAUAGCUCUUUCUUGAUUUCGUGGGUGGUGGUGCAUGGCCGUUCUUAGUUGGUGGAGUGAUUUGUCUGGUUAAUUCCGAUAACGAACGAGACUCUGUCCUGCUAACUAGUGUCUGCUUCUUUUUUGAGCAGAUUAUUCUUCUUAGAGGGACUGGUAGCUCUUAGCUACACGAGAUUGAGCAAUAACAGGUCUGUGAUGCCCUUAGAUGUUCUGGGCCGCACACGCGCUACACUGAAUGGAUCAGCUAGUUUUUCCCUCUCCGAGAGGAGCGGGUAAACUGUUGAACCCCAUUCGUGGUAGGGAUCGGAGCUUGCAAUUGUUCUCCGUGAACCAGGAAUUCCCAGUAGGCGCAAGUCAUAAGCUUGCGUCGAUUACGUCCCUGCCCUUUGUACACACCGCCCGUC